rnacentral:rRNA from 1 species
AUACGGAGGGGGUUAGCGUUGUUCGGAAUUACUGAGCGUAAAGCGCGCGUAGGCGGAUCAGAAAGUUGGGGGUGAAAUCCCGGGGCUCAACCUCGGAACUGCCUCCAAAACUCCUGGUCUUGAGUUCGAGAGAGGUGAGUGGAACUCCGAGUGUAGAGGUGAAAUUCGUAGAUAUUCGGAAGAACACCAGUGGCGAAGGCGGCUCACUGGCUCGAUACUGACGCUGAGGUGCGAAAGUGUGGGGAGCAAACAGGAUUAGAAACCCUAGUAGUCC